GUCGUCAGCUCGUGCGUGAGAUGUUGGGUUAAGUCCGUAACGAGCGCAACCCUUGUCCUUAGUUACCAGCACGUUAUGGUGGGCACUCUAAGGAGAACUGCCGGUGACAAACCGGAGGAAGGUGGGGAGUGACGUCAAGUCAUCAUGGCCCUUACGGCCUGGGCUACACACGUGCUACAAUGGUCGGUACAAAGGGUUGCCAAGCCGCGAGGUGGAGCUAAUCCCAUAAAACCGAUCGUAGUCCGGAUCGCAGUCUGCAACUCGACUGCGUGAAGUCGGAAUCGCUAGUAAUCGUGAAUCAGAAUGUCACGGUGAAUACGUUCCCGGGCCUU
rnacentral:rRNA from 1 species